GCGCCCGUAGCUCAGCUGGAUAGAGUACCUGGCUUCGAACCAGGUGGUCGGGAGUUCGAAUCUCUCCGGCCGCGCCA
rnacentral:tRNA from 1 species